UCUCUCCUUUGUGAUGAUUGAUAUUUAAUAAACCUCAUUAGUGUAUGUCCUCAAAAUGUCUCUAACAGUUUGGACUAUGUGGACAAAGGGUCUUACAAAUUAUGAUCACUCAGUCCUUUGCACAUCAGCCACAGCCAACGAUCUCGUUCUGCUCUUAUUGGCCACAAACCUUAUUAUCACGCAGCUCCCUGAGAGUAUUCAAAUAACCCCACAACAGCCAAAAAGACAACCGUCCUGGCCACGUCAGAAGUCUCUGUUACGUGAGGCCAGUCAGAGGAGGCAGGUCACAUCACAUGCCAGCAUUUCUCCCUCAGCGUUGUUCAACAGAGAGCGCUUUUUUAGAAAAUUCUCCCUAUUUAUUUUUUUAAACUUUGACAGCCUCUCAGGCGACGUCCUCGGUCUUAUUUUAUUUACAAAUUCAACUUAUUUAACUUGGAACAUUUUGCAACCAUCCACACUCCACCUAAUGUUUAUCUCCCUGAGUUUUGACACAAGAGAUGUCCUUGUGUCUGAGCACAGAUUAGUUUUAUUCGUUGCUGUUUUUGCACCCAACCAGCUCUCGUCACAUCAGCGUCCUUGCAACCAGGCUUUGAGUGCAGCUGCCAGCAGCUGCGUGAAUGAAUGCGAGACCUGUUCAGCGUUAACACCAAUCCACAGCAAAGCUCACCACGCGCAACGAGAGGGGAGGCAUCGGAAACCAGUCUGCUGCUUAUACAGCCUGUUUACUCGAAUAUCACUCAGAAGUUAAAGACAGCAGAUAAACAGGCCUUGUCACAGCUCCAGCCACACCAGCCUGUACACUUACAGAGGGGGUUGACUGCAUCAUUGAAGCAACUUUGUCAUGCUGCCAGGCUGCAGCCACACGGAGCCUCAUUCAUCCACCGUCACCGCGUCAAACUCCACAUCGACAGACAACGUUCUCGUGUUGUCGUCUCGAAGUGUCGCCCUUGGAAGCCAUCAGCAGCCACAGAGGUUGGAACGAAGGGAAGAAGACACUCAUUUGCAUAGUUGCUGCUGAUAUGACAUGUUCUACAGUCCCACGUUGCCAUCCAAGGAGCCACAGUGCCAGAACGGCUACAACCAAAACUACAUAUUUGUGAGCUGUUUUAAAGAUGUCUUAUGUUCGCUGUGGACGGACUCGCGGCUGAGAGCUACAGUCUGCAUAUUUCAACUUUGAAACUGCCUCCUCCUACAGCCAUAUUGGUACAUUUUGGACGUGUCCACUGGGAGACGGCAGGCACAAAUCCAGGCCAUCGUCUUGAUCUAAGCCCUCUCUUAUCAAAACUCCCAGAGGGGAAGCGAUUGAGUGGCACCAUCUGUCCGCUCAACGCCGUCACCCACGGCGACCCAAACUCUGAUGAGCUGAAAGUGGGAGAGAGUGUUGCUGGCAUCCAGACGAGGACUUGGUAAAUGUGUGUAAAUGAGUGUGCGUGCGCCUACUUGAGAGACUUUGUAUAGUUUUGAUAAGCUAUGAGUCACCCUGCAAGGCACAGAGAGACCUGCAGACAGAGUUUACUCAAGAUCCACAGUGAGUCAGCAGCACUCCUUGCUCCUUAGGACGAACUCCAACACUGUUACAAAAACUUCUGUUUCUUGCUUGCAUUCCACAAAUACACACUUAGUCCAGCUCGUGUUUUAUGGGCCUUAAACGACAGAAACAAAAACAGCUAAACUAACACUUGCAUGCUGCAG